rnacentral:tRNA from 1 species
ACAGUGGUAGUUCAGUGGUAGAAUUCUCGCCUUCCGAGCGGAGACCCAGGUUCGAUUCCUGGCCAAUGCA